rnacentral:rRNA from 1 species
AAAGAAACUAACAAGGAUUUUCUUAGUAGCGGCGAGCGAAAAGAAAUCAGUUCAGCACUAAGUCACUUUGUCUAUAUGGCAAAUGUGAGAUGCAGUGUAUGGAUCAUCAAUAUUCUAGUAUGAGAAAUUAACGAUUUAAGUCCUUCUUAAAUGAGGCCAUUUACCCAUAGAGGGUGCCAGGCCCGUAUAACGUUAAUGAUUAUUAGAUGGUGUAUCCAAAGAGUCGUGUUGCUUGAUAGUGCAGCACUAAGUGGGUGGUAAACUCCAUCUAAAACUAAAUAUAACCAUGAGACCGAUAGUAAACAAGUACCGUGAGGGAAAGUUGAAAAGAACUCUGAAUAGAGAGUUAAAUAGUACGUGAAACUGCUUAGAGGUUAAGCCCGAUGAACCUGAAUAUCCAUUAUGGAAAAUUCAUCAUUAGAGUUGGAAUAUUUAAUCAAUAUUUUAAUAAUAGUGUGCAUUUUUUCCAUAUAAGGACAUUGUAAUCUAUUAACAUAUUUAUAUUUAUCAAAAAAUUGUGACUUAUUGUUUAUAAUAAUUAUUAUGCUUGCAUUUUAACAUAUUAUAAAUGUUGUGAAUAUGAUAAAGUGUUGAUAGACUUAUAAGAAUACAGUGCGUUAAUUUUUCGGAAUUAUAUAGUGGCAUGAUUAUCAUUGAUUUUUGUGUUUAUUAUAUGCACUUGUAUGAUUAACAAUGCGAAAGAUUCAGGAUACCUUCGGGACCCGUCUUGAAACACGGACCAAGGAGUCUAACAUAUGUGCAAGUUAUUGGGAUAUAAACCUAAUGGCGUAAUUAACUUGGCUUAUUUAAUGGGAUUAGUUUUUUAACUAUUUAUAGCUAAUUAACACAAUCCCGGGGCG